rnacentral:rRNA from 1 species
CCUACGGGAGGCAGCAGUGAGGAAUAUUGGUCAAUGGGCGAGAGCCUGAACCAGCCAAGUCGCGUGAGGGAGUACUGCCCUAUGGGUUGUAAACCUCUUUUGUCGGGGAGCAAAAGCCGGACGUGUCCGGCUGUGAGAGUACCCGAAGAAAAAGCAUCGGCUAACUCCGUGCCAGCAGCCGCGGUAAUACGGAGGAUGCGAGCGUUAUCCGGAUUUAUUGGGUUUAAAGGGUGCGCAGGCGGAUUUUUAAGUCAGCGGUAAAAUCGUGGGGCUCAACCCCAUCCAGCCGUUGAAACUGGGGAUCUAGAGUGUGCGAGAGGUAUGCGGAAUGCGUGGUGGAGCGGUGAAAUGCAUAGAUAUCACGCAGAACCCCGAUUGCGAAGGCAGCAUACCGGUGCACAACUGACGCUCAGGCACGAAAGCGUGGGUAUCGAACAGGAUUAGAUACCCGGGUAGUC